AAAAUCUGAGGAAUUAAGAGAUGGUUUAUUAGCCAUAAGAGCUGAGACAUUGACUAUGUGCUUCUUUUUCAUGGGUCUCGAUCACCUCCUGUAGGGCUCGAGGAAUGAUGCCUCUCUGCUUAUAUGAUAUGCAUUUGAAUGACCAACCAUUGUAGCCCCCAAAGGUUCCCAGCACCACACUCUGGGCUACACCAUCAUAGAUGUCCUCUUGUGACGCAUUGUGCAGCACUCCAUUCAGCUGAAAUAACCGUGAGCUCUGAUGAUUGUUCCUCUUUCCUUUCUUGGACCAUACUCUCAAAGUCUCAGAGAUAAAGAGAGCGACAGGUGUAAGCAUUCUUAAACAUUAGCAUCAUUCAAUCUGUUUUAUGCAUACGUUUGGCUCAGUUGGUUAAAGGUGCAUUGUGUUAUUCACCUAUGAUCCCCAAAAGUAAUUAAAUCAUUUCUGGUACAUUUCUGGAGGAAAUUUGAAAUAAUAAUGUUUUAAAAGCAUAUUUGAAUGGUAUUUAUAUGUACAUUUUUAAUGACCUUCAUGUUUGGCUAAAUUUGACAUAUGAAAUACCUGACUUUGACUUCAAAACUAUAAAAUAUGUAUUUUUGGUUUUCAGACAAAAAUGCUGAUUUUUUUUUUAAUCAUCUUGUUCUUCUUAAAAUACUUAAAAACGUAUACAUAGGCCUAUAGCAAAACGUUUAUGCCACUAAUAUUUUUCUGUCUUAGCUUUUUUUAAUAAUUUUUAAUAGUAAUGUUUUUGCAGCUAUUUAGAUUGGUUGGAAUUGUAUGUUUUGUGUUUAUUUUGAUUUUGGGAUGUUUUGUUUUGCGUUAAAGCAAGAAAAAUACAGAAGGUAUAGGCUAAUAAGCCAUCAUAGAUGUCCUCUGUAGCCAUCAUAGAAGACCAACUUCACAGAUAAGUUAACGUAAUUUAACAAUUAAGAAAGUUUAGACAAAAGAUAAAUGUUGGCACAUUGCAUAAGUUUACCUGCUGGUCAGGUAGGCAUUCAAUAAGCUCGUGCGCAAAAUUGGCUGUGGGUCGAAUGCGAAUAUACACCUUUACUGGGGAGCCCUGUGAACUCAUGAUUCCUGCAAUGUAGAGUAACGUUUUCUGUCACAUUCAGCACGACAACUAAGUUAUUUUGAAUAGGCCACCAAAUGACAUACGUGUGCGUUUUGAAUAUCAAAUCUUGAAUCAAGAGUAAACUUUGUGCUCUCGAAACUCACCUGUGUAUCCUGUGCGAUAGCACAACACAUAGCAUAUAGCCUAGCUAGCUGUUGUUGGAAAUUGCUAGUUCAUGUUGAUACCGUCGUCAUGACAAUGCUCCAGCCUCGCACUAUGAGUUGCGCAGCACUUCUGGUUACCUUUAUUAAACCUGUAUCUGAGUCAUCGUGGUCACAAUCACACACUGUUCGGUUUUUUGCGGGAGUAACAGUGCGCAUUCUAACCGAAUUCGCACCCCUAUAUUUCCAGGACCCCUAUAUUUCCAGGACUCAUAAUAACCGCAUUCCCGGAAAACCAGUUGGCUUUAAGCCUAUGUGAACGGAACUAUUUUUAGACACGUCACACAAACUCAUUAAAUCCAAGUAGGCCUAUGUUAUUUCUUUUUCAUAAUAAACACAAACC